UACGUAGGGUGCAAGCGUUGUCCGGAUUUAUUGGGCGUAAAGAGCUCGUAGGCGGUUUCGUAAGUCAGAAGUUAAAUCACCAGGCUCAACCUGGUGCUGCUUUUGAUACUGCGAUGACUUGAGUGUGGCAGGGGAGAACAGAAUUCCACGUGUAGCGGUGAAGUGCGCAGAUAUGUGGAGGAAUACCGAUGGCGAAGGCAGUUCUCUGGGCCAUUACUGACGCUGAGGAGCGAAAGCGUGGGGAGCGAACAGG
rnacentral:rRNA from 1 species